CAUCGAUCGUAUUUCCACACAGCAUUCAUUUCUUUCUCUCUUUUGGAAAGAGUCUUUUGGACGGCUUUCAAGAAAGCAACACGAGUCAACCUAAGCUCUGAUUGACAUGGCCCUGAAAACCUUUUGAAACGCAAGAGGCUGCCGCUGCCAAUUCUCCUGGGAGAGAUGUGGGCUUUUUUUUACUGCAAUGCGCCGAGGGCCCAAUUUUUCUGUCUUUCAGCCCUGCAGCGUCCGUAGAUAGUUUGCAGGCCCAAAACUGCACACGCACCGGCAAGUAAGCCCACGGAGGAGGCAGCCGCGGCGCCCGGCGGAGACGCGGAGUGCGAGAAGAGCGGCGACGAGGGGAAGGAAGACCGUGCGGGGAAGAAGAAGGCGGCGAGCCGAGGGCCGAGGCAUUUGAAUCUCCUCCAAGGCUCUAAGUCCAUGUCCUUCACGAACUCCUCCAUCGACGGCAUCUUCGAGAAGCUGACCGCGGAGGCUGACAGGCUGCAUCGCUGCAGCAGGAGGAAGCUCAGCCCCAGCUAGCACCACAUCCCGCGCCGCGGCAUCCAGAUUCCAGACCACCGUCCGCCUCGUCCUCUCCGGUGAGCUCGGGAAGCACGCCGUCUCCGUGGGCACCAAGCUAACAAAGCUAACAGGAAAUCAUAAGAUUGUUAUAUGAAUGGAUGAUAGAACUGAAGCAUCACAUACAUCUUCAGCUAUUUAAGGCAAGUGACUACCUGCAACCAUCUUGCUCAUUAUGUUCCACCACCAGGGAGUUGUUGCUACUCCUCAUAUUCUACCCACAGACUGGUGUCUGUGUGCAACCACAUUGUUGUAUCGGCUAUCUCCCAGAUUUUGUGUGGAAGAGCAUCCUCUGAGUACCUGUGUAGAUCCAAUGAACCUGUGAACAUAGCAUCUGUUGG